UACGUAGGGUGCAAGCGUUUGUCCGGAAUUAUUGGGCGUAAAGGGUGCGUAGGCGGCGGGGCAAGUCUGAUGUGAAAUCCCCGGGGGCUCAACCCCGGAACUGCAUUGGAUACUGCCUUGCUUGAGUACUGGAGAGGAGACUGGAAUUUACGGUGUAGCAGUGAAAUGCGUAGAUAUCGUAAGGAAGGCCAGUGGCGAAGGCGAGUCUCUGGGCCGAUACUGACGCUGAGGAGCGAAAGCGUGGGGAGCGAACAGG
rnacentral:rRNA from 1 species